ACGAUCAUAUCUGAUUGGAAACACUCGUUGUAGUCUGAUCAACGAAGUAAAGCAACUUCGGGUCUGGCUGGUCCUUGUGUGAGUGACCGAUUUUGGAAAUACUUCGUGUUCAAAACU
rnacentral:rRNA from 1 species